rnacentral:rRNA from 1 species
ACGGGUGAGUAAUGCCUAGGAAUCUGCCUGGUAGUGGGGGAUAACGCUCGGAAACGGACGCUAAUACCGCAUACGUCCUACGGGAGAAAGCAGGGGACCUUCGGGCCUUGCGCUAUCAGAUGAGCCUAGGUCGGAUUAGCUAGUUGGUGAGGUAAUGGCUCACCAAGGCGACGAUCCGUAACUGGUCUGAGAGGAUGAUCAGUCACACUGGAACUGAGACACGGUCCAGACUCCUACGGGAGGCAGCAGUGGGGAAUAUUGGACAAUGGGCGAAAGCCUGAUCCAGCCAUGCCGCGUGUGUGAAGAAGGUCUUCGGAUUGUAAAGCACUUUAAGUUGGGAGGAAGGGCAUUUACCUAAUACGUAAGUGUUUUGACGUUACCGACAGAAUAAGCACCGGCUAACUCUGUGCCAGCAGCCGCGGUAAUACAGAGGGUGCAAGCGUUAAUCGGAAUUACUGGGCGUAAAGCGCGCGUAGGUGGUUUGUUAAGUUGGAUGUGAAAUCCCCGGGCUCAACCUGGGAACUGCAUUCAAAACUGACAAGCUAGAGUAUGGUAGAGGGUGGUGGAAUUUCCUGUGUAGCGGUG